GGGGCUGUAGCUCAGUUGGGAGAGCAUCUGCUUUGCAAGCAGAGGGUCGGCGGUUCAAUUCCGCCCAGCUCCACCA
rnacentral:tRNA from 1 species